UACGUAGGGUGCAAGCGUUAAUCGGAAUUACUGGGCGUAAAGCGUGCGCAGGCGGUUCGCUAAGACAGAUGUGAAAUCCCCGGGCUUAACCUGGGAACUGCAUUUGUGACUGGCGGGCUAGAGUAUGGCAGAGGGGGGUAGAAUUCCACGUGUAGCAGUGAAAUGCGUAGAGAUGUGGAGGAAUACCGAUGGCGAAGGCAGCCCCCUGGGCCAAUACUGACGCUCAUGCACGAAAGCGUGGGAGCAAACAGG
rnacentral:rRNA from 1 species